UACGUAGGGGGCAAGCGUUGUCCGGAAUCAUUGGGCGUAAAGCGCGCGUAGGCGGCCCUGUAAGUCCGUUGUGAAAGUCAAAGGCUCAACCUUUGAAAGCCGAUGGAUACUGCAGGGCUAGAGUCCGGAAGAGGCGAGUGGAAUUCCUGGUGUAGCGGUGGAAUGCGCAGAUAUCAGGAGGAACACCAAUAGCGAAGGCAGCUCACUACACAGUUAUUGACGCUGAGGCACGAAAGCGUGGGGAUCAAACAGG
rnacentral:rRNA from 1 species